CCCCUCUCAGAAUCACACCUGGAGAGUUUCCAGUACUCUACCAGUCUAGAUUACAGGAGGUAGAGUCAAGCAGGGGCCUGCCCAUUCCAUUCCCAGUUUGACCAGUGGUUAGCAAGUGGAAGGUAAUCUGCUACAAGU